GACGAACGCUGGCGGCGUGCCUAAUACAUGCAAGUUGAGCGCUGAAGGUUGGUACUUGUACCAACUGGAUGAGCAGCGAACGGGUGAGUAACGCGUGGGGAAUCUGCCUUUGAGCGGGGGACAACAUUUGGAAACGAAUGCUAAUACCGCAUAAAAACUUUAAACACAAGUUUUAAGUUUGAAAGAUGCAAUUGCAUCACUCAAAGAUGAUCCCGCGUUGUAUUAGCUAGUUGGUGAGGUAAAGGCUCACCAAGGCGAUGAUACAUAGCCGACCUGAGAGGGUGAUCGGCCACAUUGGGACUGAGACACGGCCCAACCUCCUACGGGAGGCAGCAGGAGGGAAUCUUCGGCAAUGGACGAAAGUCUGACCGAGCAACGCCGCGGGAGUGAAGAAGGUUUUCGGAUCGUAAAACUCGGUUGGUAGGGAAGAACGUUGGUGAGAGUGGAAAGCUCAUCAAGUGACGGUAACUACCCAGAAAGGGACGGCUAACUACGUG
rnacentral:rRNA from 1 species